UCUCUGCGGCCGGCUGAGGACUCUUUCUGU
rnacentral:piRNA from 1 species